UACCAACCCGAUGCAAACUGCGAAUACCGGAGAAUGUUAUCACGGGAGACACACGGCGGGUGCUAACGUCCGUCGUGAAGAGGGAAACAACCCAGACCGCCAGCUAAGGUCCCAAAGUCAUGGUUAAGUGGGAAACGAUGUGGGAAGGCCCAGACAGCCAGGAUGUUGGCUUAGAAGCAGCCAUCAUUUAAAGAAAGCGUAAUAGCUCACUGGUCGAGUCGGCCUGCGCGGAAGAUGUAACGGGGCUAAACCAUGCACCGAAGCUGCGGCAGCGACACUCAGGUGUUGUUGGGUAGGGGAGCGUUCUGUAAGCCUGCGAAGGUGGCCUGUGAGGGUUGCUGGAGGUAUCAGAAGUGCGAAUGCUGACAUAAGUAACGAUAAAGCGGGUGAAAAGCCCGCUCGCCGGAAGACCAAGGGUUCCUGUCCAACGUUAAUCGGGGCAGGGUGAGUCGACCCCUAAGGCGAGGCCGAAAGGCGUAGUCGAUGGGAAACGGGUUAAUAUUCCCGUACUUGGUGUUACUGCGAAGGGGGGACGGAGAAGGCUAUGUUGGCCGGGCGACGGUUGUCCCGGUUUAAGCGUGUAGGUGUGUGUUCCAGGUAAAUCCGGUU
rnacentral:rRNA from 1 species